rnacentral:rRNA from 1 species
AACGAACGCUGGCGGCAUGCCUAACACAUGCAAGUCGAACGAGACCUUCGGGUCUAGUGGCGCACGGGUGCGUAACACGUGGGAAUUUGCCUCGGGGUAUGGAAUAACUUAGGGAAACUUGAGCUAAUACCAUAUAAUGUCUUCGGACCAAAGAUUUAUCGCCCUGAGAUAAGCCCGCGUAGGAUUAGCUAGUUGGUGAGGUAAAGGCUCACCAAGGCGACGAUCCUUAGCUGGUCUGAGAGGAUGAUCAGCCACACUGGGACUGAGACACGGCCCAGACUCCUACGGGAGGCAGCAGUGGGGAAGUAUUGGACAAUGGGCGAAAGCCUGAUCCAGCAAUGCCGCGUGAGUGAUGAAGGCC